UGGGGAAUUUUGGGCAAUGGGCGAAAGCCUGACCCAGCAACGCCGCGUGAAGGAUGAAGUAUUUCGGUAUGUAAACUUCGAAAGAAUAGGAAGAAUAAAUGACGGUACUAUUUGUAAGGUCCGGCUAACUACGUGCCAGCAGCCGCGGUAAUACGUAGGGACCAAGCGUUGUUCGGAUUUACUGGGCGUAAAGGGCGCGUAGGCGGUGUGUCAAGUCAGUUGUGAAAUCUCCGAGCUUAACUCGGAACGGUCAACUGAUACUGUCACACUAGAGUACAGAAGGGGCAAUCGGAAUUCUUGGUGUAGCGGUGAAAUGUGUAGAUAUCAAGAGGAACACCUGAGGCGAAGGCGGGUUGCUGGGCUGAUACUGACGCUGAGGCGCGAAAGCUAGGGUAGCAAACAGGAUUAGAUACCCUGGUAGUCCCUGAGCGGGCUGGCAAGGCGCAU
rnacentral:rRNA from 1 species